AGGGACUGCGCCUGAAGGCGGUCAUCGCCGACAAAGGCUAUGACUCGGAUGCUUUUGUCAAAAGCAUUCGUGCCAGCCGAGCCAAGACCGUCAUUCCCCCACGUUCGAACCCCAAAACACAGCGUCGACCGGAGUGGACGAACCUCUGGUGUACCAGUUGUCACGCCAGUGGCAUCGCCGGGUAGCUAUGUUCGGAAGAGAUAACCGCUGAAAGCAUCUAAGCGGGAAACUCGCCUUAAGAUGAGAUAUCCCCGGGGCUUCGAGCCCCUUGAAGGGUCGUUCCAGACCAGGACGUUGAUAGGUCAGGUGUGUAAGUGCAGUAAUGCAUUGAGCUAACUGAUACUAAUUGCCCGUAAGGCUUGAUCCU
rnacentral:ncRNA from 1 species